rnacentral:rRNA from 1 species
UCGGGAAUUUUGGGCAAUGGGCGAAAGCCUGACCCAGCAACGCCGCGUGAGGGAUGAAGUAUUUCGGUAUGUAAACCUCGAAAGAAUGGGAAGAAUAAAUGACGGUACCAUUUAUAAGCUCCGGCUAACUACGUGCCAGCAGCCGCGGUAAUACGUAGGGAGCAAGCGUUGUUCGGAUUUACUGGGCGUAAAGGGAGCGUAGGCGGACUUUUAAGUGAGAUGUGAAAUACCCGGGCUCAACCUGGGUGCUGCAUUUCAAACUGGAAGUCUAGAGUGCAGGAGAGGAGAGUGGAAUUCCUAGUGUAGCGGUGAAAUGCGUAGAGAUUAGGAAGAACACCAGUGGCGAAGGCGACUCUCUGGACUGUAACUGACGCUGAGGCUCGAAAGCGUGGGGAGCAAACA